rnacentral:rRNA from 1 species
AUUGAACGCUGGCGGCAUGCCUUACACAUGCAAGUCGAACGGUAACGGGCCUUCGGGUGCCGACGAGUGGCGAACGGGUGAGUAAUGCAUCGGAACGUACCCAUCAGUGGGGGAUAACUCUCCGAAAGGAGGGCUAAUACCGCAUAUUCUGUGCGCAGGAAAGCGGGGGACCGCAAGGCCUCGCACUGAUGGAGCGGCCGAUGUCAGAUUAGCUAGUUGGUGGGGUAAAGGCCUACCAAGGCGACGAUCUGUAGCGGGUCUGAGAGGAUGAUCCGCCACACUGGGACUGAGACACGGCCCAGACUCCUACGGGAGGCAGCAGUGGGGAAUUUUGGACAAUGGGGGCAACCCUGAUCCAGCCAUGCCGCGUGAGUGAAGAAGGCCUUCGGGUUGUAAAGCUCUUUCGGCCGGGAAGAAAUCGCAUCCCCUAAUACGGGGUGUGGAUGACGGUACCGGAAUAAGAAGCACCGGCUAACUACGUGCCAGCCGCCGCGGUAAAAC